GCACUCUUAGCUCAGUUGGUAGAGCAACUGACUCUUAAUCAGUGGGUCCAGGGUUCGAACCCCUGAGGGUGUA
rnacentral:tRNA from 1 species